CCAAUAGCGUAUAUUAAAGUUGUUGCAGUUAAAAAGCUCGUAGUUGAAUUUCGGGAUCAAUUAAUUGGUCGUGCCUCUGGUACGUACUGAUUUUAUUGGUUUCUCCCUUCUGACGAACCAUGAUGUCAUUAAUUUGGUGUCGUGGAGAAUCAGGACUGUUACUUUGAAAAAAUUAGAGUGUUUAAAGCAAGCUAACGCUUGAAUACAUUAGCAUGGAAUAAUGAAAUAGGACGUUUGAUCCUAUUUUGUUGGUUUCUAGGAUCGACGUAAUGAUUAAUAGGGAUAGUUGGGGGCAUUAGUAUUCAAUUGUCAGAGGUGAAAUUCUUGGAUUUAUUGAAGACUAACUACUGCGAAAGCAUUUGCCAAGGAUGUUUUCAUUAAUCAAGAACGAAAGUUAGGGGAUCGAAGACGAUCAGAUACCGUCGUAGUCUUAACCAUAAACUAUGCCGACUAGGGAUCGGAUGAUGUUAAUUUUUUAAUGACUCAUUCGGCGCCUUAC
rnacentral:rRNA from 1 species